rnacentral:rRNA from 1 species
UCUACGGGAGGCAGCAGUGGGGAAUAUUGCGCAAUGGGGGCAACCCUGAUGCAGCGACGCCGCGUGAGUGAGGAAGUAUUUCGGGAUGUAAAGCUCUAUCAGCAGGGAGGAAAAUGACGGUCCCUGCCUACGACGCCCCGGCUAACUACGGGCCAGCAGCCCCGGUAAUCCGUAGGGGGCAAGCGUUAGCCGUGUGUAUUGGGUGUACAGUGAGCGGAUACGGCUAAUCAAGUCAGAAGUGAAAACCCAGGGCUCAACAUUGGGAGUGCUUUUGAAACUGAGUAGCUAGAGUGCAGGAGAGGUAAGCGGAAUUCCUAGUGUAGCGGUGAAAUGCGUAGAUAUUAGGAGGAACACCAGUGGCGAAGGCGGCUUACUGGACUGUAACUGACGUUGAGGCUCGAAAGCGUGGGGAGCAAACAGGAUUAGAUACCCUUGUAGUC